UCCUUUUCUAUUGUAAAGUAGUGUUAUAUAUUGAAACAAACUGAAUCUUGAGUUUACUUUGAGUUUCAGGAAAAAAUCAGGGAAAGACUGCAGUCUUGAUGAUCCAAUGUACAUUCAGCAGUUAUAUGCCAAUUAAAUAACCCAGGAAUAAAAACUGUUACUUUUAGGACUUGCAUAUGGGUAGUAGCAAGAGAUACAUUGGUAAAACAGGAAUAAUUGAAUGUCUCUGCAUUUCCACCUGCUUAGCAUAAGGCAGAAGGUCUUUUCUGAUCAAAAAGUUGUCUAGGAGUCUGACAUAUGUGGUAGUUAAUUACAAUCAGAAACAUGAAACACAUAACUAUUAACUGCUUUCUCACACCUCUGACAAAGGUUACUGUUCCCACAAAAAGACAGCUGAACAGCUCAUAAAGAACAACUUCCUGAAAUCCCAGCAGAUUUGCACUAUAACACCAGACUUCUGUAAACUUCUGUGACUCAGAAGCUACUUUACAACCUGUUUGGUCAUCUUGUCUGCCUGCACAGCAACCCCUGUCAGAGGUGGAAAACACUUCAGACAUCUUUUUCUAGCUUCCUUUCCCACCAGAGUCAGAAUUUGGUACACAUUUAGACAAAAAUGGGCUACAGUGGGUCAGCAGCAGCAAUGGCAUCUGUGUAGAUAAACCCCGAAUUCUUUCUUGUGACUGGCAUCAGAAAAAGGAAGAAUAGCCUAAGAAGCUGUUGAAAUGAUUUAGUAGUCAUUUACAUACCAUGUCUAUAACCAAAACUCAAGUACUAUCAUUAGUUUUAAUUAUUCAAAGACUGGAGUACCAUUAAAUAUAUCCUAAAUUCUGUACAUCUAUACACAACAACAUUUUGAAAAUGUGGUAAUUUGUAUAGAAGACCAGCAAUGAAAAAGAAAAUUGGUUAAAUGUGACAGAACACUAAUAUUGAUGUAUGCCCUACUUUGUUUAUUUUCUUCAGUUUACAAGCACUGAGGAAGGAAAAGUCUCGAGAUGCUGCUCGAUCUCGCCGGGGAAAGGAGAAUUUUGAAUUCUAUGAGUUGGCAAAGUUGUUGCCGCUGCCUGCAGCCAUUACCAGCCAGCUUGACAAGGCAUCCAUCAUCCGACUCACAAUUAGCUAUCUGAAAAUGAGGGACUUUGCUAAUCAAGGCGAUCCUCCAUGGAACCUGAGAAUGGAAGGACCUCCACCUAAUACAUCAGUAAAAGGGAUACAAAUGUGGAAAUCUGAGGUCUGCAUGAGAAAGACACCAUGUGAAGGUGAAAUAAACCUCUUAUUUUAUAUACUUUUAUUUAACAACAAACCUGUUGAUAUAAGUAUUACAGCUCUAAGUUUUCUGGGUAAAAGAUUAAAACAUUCAAAGUUAUUUAGCAAUGAUUGUGUUACUUUUCCUAUUCUAAUAUUCUAUGAAAGGAUGCAUUUGAGAGGAACAUGGUGUUAUUCCUUGAUUUGAGAACGCAGUCUCUUAAUUCUGUCACUAAAACUUAAAGGCAGAAUCAUGUUGUCUCCCUGUUCACGAACAUAACAUCCAAAUUUUUAAAUAUUCAGAUCAGAGACCAGGAUUUUAUUCAUCAUCAUUUAAUGUGUAUAGAAAUUAUUUUUGACGUUUGAGCCUGUAUGCAUUUAUCAAGACUUCAGCCAAAAUAUGAUAUUUUCAAUAUUAAACACCCUCUUUUCAUGCUUAAACAAGCUAUUGAGCCAUAAAUGUUUUAGACAUGAGUCGCCAUAGAAGUCUGUUAAUAGAAGAAUCGGAGAUUUGUUUUUAGAGGCUGUAUGCGUGUUGGUCCUGACUAGUGUUUCCAGUAACUUGUAUAAACUGAACCUUUUGUGUAGUUUUUUAUUCAUGCUAUGUAUAUAGAAGAGUGUGGUCUUGCUGUCUGAUAAGUAUUUUAAACUAGUGUGAGAGAACCUUAUUAAACUACAACUGUCCAUGAA